AUUGAACGCUGGCGGCAGGCCUCACACAUGCAAGUCGAACGAGUGGCGGACGGGUGAGUAAUGUCUGGGAAACUGCCUGAUGGAGGGGGAUAACUACUGGAAACGGUAGCUAAUACCGCAUACCAUCGGAUGUGCCCAGAUGGGAUUAGCUAGUAGGUGGGGUAAAGGCUCACCUGGGCGACGAUCCCUAGCUGGUCUGAGAGUAGGACCAGCCACACUGGAACUGAGACACGGUCCAGACUCCUACGGGAGGCAGCAGUGGGGAAGAUUGCACAAGGGGCGCAAGCCUGAUGCAGCCAUGCCGCUUGUAUGAAGAAGGCCUUCGGGUUGUAAAGUACUUUCAGCGUGGAGGCGUUACCCGCAGAAGAAGCACCGGCUAACUCAGUGCCAGCAGCCGCGGUAAUUC
rnacentral:rRNA from 1 species